rnacentral:rRNA from 2 species
UAGGGAAUCUUCCGCAAUGGACGAAAGUCUGACGGAGCAACGCCGCGUGAGCGAAGAAGGCCUUCGGGUCGUAAAGCUCUGUUGUCAGGGAAGAACAAGUACCGGAGUAACUGCCGGUACCUUGACGGUACCUGACGAGAAAGCCACGGCUAACUACGUG